GAUCAUGGCUCAGGAUGAACGCUAGCUACAGGCUUAACACAUGCAAGUCGAGGGGCAGCAUGGUCUUAGCUUGCUAAGGCCGAUGGCGACCGGCGCACGGGUGAGUAACGCGUAUCCAACCUGCCUUACACUCUUGGACAGCCUUCUGAAAGGGAGAUUAAUACAAGAUGGUUAUCAUGAGUAAGCCAUUUUCGCUAUGAUUAAAGGUUACCGGUAGUAAGUCGUGGGGAUGCGG
rnacentral:rRNA from 1 species